rnacentral:tRNA from 2 species
GGGGCCAUAGCUCAGCUGGGAGAGCGUCCGGAUGGCAUCCGGAAGGUCGCCGGUUCGAUCCCGGCUGGCUCCA